CAAAGGAAGAGCAGGCUGGGCACGGAGGCCCAGAAGACAGCGUACUUCCUUCCACACAUUGUUCUUUGACCUCUGCAACUGUGUUGUAAUGGGAUCUUCUAAAUUCUUCAAUUUACACAAUUGUGGGAAAGCUUUCUACCACUUAGUGUGGUAAACCGAAGGCCAGAGAACACAGACACACAACGUGCCUGCAGGGGUCAAAAAGGUCCUGGAACUGGAGUUACAGAUGGCUGUGAGUCACCUCCUGAGUGCUGAGAACAGAACCUGGUCCUCUGUAAGACUUCUAGGAGUUCUUCCUGGAGCCCUCACUCCCGUCCUAAGGUCGAGUCCAGCGUUCUCAGUAAGGCCAGAAGAUGGAGAGCAAUUUGAGAGCUGGAGAGUGGAGGAUCUCCAGUAGCCCAGUAGACCGAAACUAACUAUGCAGCAGACAAUGACGGUGACCUUUCGAUCUGUCUGCCUCUUCUCUGGAGGUGCUGGGACUGCAGGGUGUGUGCCUCCUUCCGUCUCUCUCCCUUCCUUUCAUCCUUCCUUGACGAGGUCUCAUUAUGUAGCCCAGGCUAUCCUUGAACACUGUUUUUUUUCCCAUCUCAGCUUCCAAGUACCUGUCCCAGAUCCAAAAUGAUGCUUGUACCUCUAUGGUCAUCAUGCCCAAACCUCCUAAGUCCAGAUUAGUCCCAGAAGAACCAGAGCUUCUGACAGAGGGAUAGCCUGCAGCAUGCCUGGUCAGUUAGUUCUCUUCAAAACUGUCAGGGCCCAGAGGAGCCUAAGGAGACAAACGUGUUGUGGUGUCUCGGAUGGGAUCAUGAUACGUGAAGAGACCAUUAUAUCAAAAGUGAAGAAAUCUGAGUGCAAUAUGAACCUUGAAAAAUAAUAAUAAUAUAUCACUAGUGGUUCAUUAAUUGUAACAAAUAAAUUAGAGUAAUAUACAGCAUUAAUAAAAGGGGAGCAGUGUGCCAGGGAUACGUGGGAACUCUCGGGAUUAUCUGCUCAGUCUUUCUGUAAAUCUAUUUUUCAAAAAAUUUGUCCCAUUAUUUUGGUCACUAAACUACAUGCCCAGCUCUGUAACGUGGUUUUCUUUCAGACGAUGGGCCUUCAUGAUUGUUUCUUAUCUUCCUGUUUGUGUAUUAAUUUUUCCUAUAAUAUAUGAAUACUUCUUUUAUAAUAAGAUAAAAUUAUUAGGUAGGCAGUGUGACUUGAGUCUGUAAUCCCAGCACCUGCAGGGCUGAGGAAAGAGAACAGCCAAGCCGAGGAAUCUAGGGUUAGCCUGGGCUACACAGAAAGUUCUACAUAUAUGAUC